rnacentral:rRNA from 1 species
UACUAGGGGGGCAAGCGUUGUUCGGAAUUAUUGGGCGUAAAGGGCGCGUAGGCGGUUUGACAAGUCUGAUGUGAAAUCUAUGGGCUCAACCCAUAGCCUGCAUUAGAAACUGUCGGGCUUGAGUAUGGGAGAGGUGAGUGGAAUUUCCGGUGUAGCGGUGAAAUGCGUAGAUAUCGGAAGGAACACCUGUGGCGAAAGCGGCUCACUGGACCAUAACUGACGCUGAGGCGCGAAAGCUAGGGGAGCAAACAGG